UACGGGGGGAGCAAGCGUUGUUCGGAUUUACUGGGCGUAAAGGGCGCGUAGGCGGCCACCGCAAGUCGACUGUGAAAUCUCCGGGCUUAACCCGGAAAGGUCAGCCGAUACUGCGGGGCUAGAGUGCAGAAGGGGCAACUGGAAUUCUCGGUGUAGCGGUGAAAUGCGUAGAUAUCGAGAGGAACACCAGCGGCGAAGGCGGGUUGCUGGGCUGACACUGACGCUGAGGCGCGAAAGCUAGGGGAGCGAACGGG
rnacentral:rRNA from 1 species